UAGUGGCGUCCCUGGCGUUCUGGAGACUUGGACGCUUCUGUUGUUAGCGUGCAGUAGCAGCGGGACGCUCCGGGCUUCCUGCCUCUGUGUAGGCUAUCGUUGAUAGCCUCCCACUCUAAAACACGUCUUUAUUUACUCCCCACCCCGUUUCGGUAAAAUUUGAAUUAUUGACCCUUUUUCCUCACGGCACACUUCUACCAUAAUUAACCCAAGAAAAUUCUUGGGUCAUAACAUGAACCUGAAAUUUGUAAUGCAGAUAUGUGCUUGGAAUUGAAUGCGAGCAUUGCUCUAAUAUUUUAUUCUUGGUUACCUCAAACUUUGAGGAGGGCUUUUGGGGUGGUUUAUGGAUAGGAAAAGCUUAAUUAUUUUAAACUUGGGUAUUGCUUAUGCACUUAAGACGUCCUCAGUUGUUGAAUGAUAUUUUAUAAAAACAGGUACUGAUUUUGGGGAUUUCGUUCGAUUAAUCUUAUUUUAUAAUACAUCCUAGUAUUUAAUGUAGGAUGGAAGGGACACUAUUUGGCCGCUUGACCCUCAUACAGGAUGGAGUUACUGUGUUACAGUUCCUUCUUGGAUUCUUCUACCAAAGUCAAGAGGUUCAGAUCCUGUGGCGUUUUACAAAGUCGAAGUUGGUAUACAAUCGCCAGAAGGGAUAACCACCACUCGAGGGAUUUUGUGAAGAUAUAGUAAUUUCUUAAACCUACUUUCUGAACUUAAAAAGGCAUUUCCUGAGAAAACUCUACCUCCAGUUCCUCCAAAGAGGAUUUUGAGAAGGAAAGGCAGUACAUUGCUGGAAAAGUAUCCUGCAGCGAAGAUGUUCUUUGGAGGACUGGAUGGAAAAGCUAUUAUCAGAUAUUGAUGUAUCUAGAAGUGCUCCAGUUGGAACGUUUCUUGAACUAGAAGCUGCUGCACGGUCAUUUUUUGAUGAUGCAAAUUCUUCUGCUAGCGACAUAGUGCCGUCAGCUCUAUUACAAACCAACUCAGAUGUUUCUUUGUUGGCUGGUAGUUUGUCAAAUGCAUCAGAUAAUGGUAAUGGUUCUCCUGAGAUAUCGGAGGUUGGAACUCCUAGGAAUGCAAAAGAUAGCAGUGUUGAUUUUGGCAGGGAGACUUCAACUUCUGAACAAAACUUAACUGAUUUAAUGGAAGCAACUGUUAAAUAUGGUAUAUUUAACAGGAAAUCUAUUCUGGAGAACCUAGAAAAGUUUUCCUGGAGGAAAAUGUAUGCUGGAAGAGAGAAAAAUAUUGUAAGUGGAUGCUGAAAACAAAUCUAGAGCUACAGCUUUUUUUGGAGAUGGAAAUGAGCCUUUACAUGGACUAGAGUAUCAGAGAUUGGAUGGUCAUGUCCGCAGACUAUCAACAGAGAGUAUUGGGAGUGACUUAAGUUCUGUAAAAGCUAGUGAAAUAUCAAAUCUUGGGGUAGGUAAUUUGUUUGGUGAUGAUUCCCUUGUCCUUCCUGAGGUUGCUGAAACUCAAAAAAUAAUUGAUGCUCCUGGAAGCUUAAAUUCACAGUUCCCAAAGAACUUGCUAGUUGCCCUUCCAUCAGAUGAGUGCCAUAAGUUGAAUUUUGUUCUUAAUACCAUGCGACAGAGGCUAGCUACAGCUAAAACAGACAUGGAGGACCUUAUAGCCAGAUUAAAUCAAUAAGUUGCUGUAAGGCAAUUUCUGUCGGCAAAGGUUAAAGAUUUGGAAGUGGAUCUUGAGAUUACUAGAAAUAAUUGUAAAGAAAACAUGCAACAAGCUGUUUUGAUUGAAAGGGAAAGAUUUACUCGGAUGCAAUGGGAUGUGGAAGAACUCCGUAAGCAGUGUUUAGAGAUGAAGCUGAAAUUGAUAUCUGAACAGGAUGAAAGGGCACUUACUGAGUCUGCAAAAGUCUCUAUGAUUCAGGAGAAUAAAAUGUUGCUACAGCAGUUGAAUGUUGCUAGAGAAGAGCUUGAAAACUUGCAUAAGCAUCAUGAAGAGUUGGAGCUGAAGUCAAAAGCAGAUGUGAAGCUUCUUGUUAAGGAGGUGAAAUCUCUUCGGAGUUCGCAGUCGGAUCUGAAACAGGAGCUUAGUGGCUUGGUGAAAGAAAAAAUAGAAGUGGAGAGGGGUCUUCGAAAUGAAAAACAAAGAAUGCAAGUUGUGACUGCUGCCAAUGUUAAGUUGUUGCAUGAGUGAAAUUCUUCGCAAUAGGCUUGAAGAAUGUAGUGUUAAUUUCCUUGUUGAAGAGGAAGAUAAACUGAUUCUGGACACUUCAUCGCCAUCUGAUGCCAUUGAUCUUUUGACGACAUCUGAUAAUCGAAUCGGUCUCCUUCUUGCAGAGGCACAACUCCUUGCAGAGGAUGUAGAAAAUUCUGUAGCCAGAUUAGACGAGACUUUCAAUACAAAAGGCGGUGAUAGAGUUGAUGAUGAGUUGAGGAAGUUGCUCAUAGAAGCGUUCGUGGACAAUGCAAGAUUGAGAAUGCAAGUCAAUUCGGUAAUUCGUUGUGCUCUAAAUGCACAUGUGAAGUCAGAUAAAGAUGAAGAGGAAGAGGAGGAGGUAGAGGGAAAUUCCUUGAGGAAAACAGUUUUAAGUAAGUUCUUGGAAAGGUGAUAUGUAAUGCGUGGAACCCAUCCAUAUUAAAAGUAUAUAAAUUCAAAAUUAUUGCCAUGUACUACACACCAUAGUGUAAAUUAAGGAUAAAUUAAGGAUGAGUAUUAUUCGAUUCAAACUGAAUAAAUCAAAUUGAAUCGUCUUAAUUUGAUAA